rnacentral:rRNA from 1 species
AGUGAACGCUGGCGGUAGGCCUAACACAUGCAAGUCGAACGGCAGCACAGUAAGAGCUUGCUCUUACGGGUGGCGAGUGGCGGACGGGUGAGGAAUACAUCGGAAUCUACUUUUUCGUGGGGGAUAACGUAGGGAAACUUACGCUAAUACCGCAUACGACCUACGGGUGAAAGCAGGGGAUCUUCGGACCCUGCGCGAUUGAAUGAGCCGAUGUCGGAUUAGCUAGUUGGCGGGGUAAAGGCCCACCAAGGCGACGAUCCGUAGCUGGUCUGAGAGGAUGAUCAGCCACACUGGAACUGAGACACGGUCCAGACUCCUACGGGAGGCAGCAGUGGGGAAUAUUGGACAAUGGGCGCAAGCCUGAUCCAGCCAUACCGCGUGGGUGAAGAAGGCCUUCGGGUUGUAAAGCCCUUUUGUUGGGAGAGAAAAGCAGCAGGUUAAUACCCCGCUGUUCUGACGGUACCCAAAGAAUAAGCACCGGCUAACUUCGUG